rnacentral:rRNA from 1 species
CCGGCGACCGGCGGACGGGUGCGUAACGCGUAUGUAACCUACCUUUGACAGGGGGAUAACAUCGAGAAAUUGGUACUAAUACCCCAUAACAUCACCGGAGGCAUCUUCGGUGGUUGAAAACUCAGGUGGUCAGAGAUGGACAUGCGUUGUAUUAGCUAGCUGGUGAGGUAACGGCUCACCAAGGCGACGAUACAUAGGGGGACUGAGAGGUCAACCCCCCACAUUGGUACUGAGACACGGACCAAACUCCUACGGAAGGCAGCAG